rnacentral:lncRNA from 1 species
UCUUACAUUAAGCGUAUGAGCUUUUAAAAGAGGAAGAUUGUACUUUGUUGUCCAGCUGCUUUGUGUCUAGCACUGUUGUACAUGCUGUGUAUGAAAAGAAGAAAAUACUGAAACGUUGGUUGAGUUAGAAAUAUUGGCUUUAACUUGUUAGAUAAAAUUUAAAGACCAACCUCAAAUAAAGAACUAAAAGGAGCCAGGCUAAGUCAGAGGACAAAUUAUAGGACAGUACUUCAAGAUAAAAUGAGAGCGUGGUAUUGAUUUAAAAUCGUGGACACAUGUUCACAGAUUGACUCAAGGCAUAGUUACAUAGCUAUGACCAGACACAGUUACACAGCUGUGAUGUGUUUUUUAAUCUGUACUGUAUGA